UGUUGGUCAGGCUGGUCUCAGACUCCUGACCUCAGGUGAUCUGCCCUCCUUGGCCUUCCAAAGUUCUGGGAUUACAGGUGUGAGCCACCACGUCGGGCCCAAGAAGUCUUUUAACAUCACAAAUUGGGUUCUAUCACUUGUCAGCCUAACUCUCUCCAGUGUCUUCCCAUUAUACUUAAAAUAAAAUGAAAACAUUUACCUUACAAGGGUAAAUGACCUAUGCCCAAGGCCUAGCCCUAGCUGUCUCUUGGCCUUGUUCUCAUUCCUGCUGGCCUUUUACUGUCCUCUAGCUACCCUUGUCUUUCUGUCUCUAGAAUGUGCUUUAGAGGGCUUUCUAAUGGCUAUUUGGCUUUCCCCCAAUCUCUGUGUUAUGAGCUACGUCCUGUCAUUUGGGUCUUAGUUUAAACUCACUGUUUAGAAACCUUCUCUGACCUCCCUACCUAAAACAGUCUCUACCCUCGACCAAUUACUUUGCUAUUAUCUGAAAUUCCUUCUACUUGAAUGUAAGAUUCUUGAGGCAGAGACCUCUGAUGCCAGAGGUCUGAUGGCAGUUAAGCAAGACAGGUGAAGUCAUUAGAGUCUCUAUUGCCUAAAACAGUACUUGGGACAUGGUGGCCAUUCAGUAAAUAUUUAUUGAUAAAUGAACAUAAUGAGUGAUUGAAUAGUUAUAUCUCCGGAAGGCACAUGGCUUUUCUGAGAGCAACCUUUUAGAUUCCCGUGGCUUAAAGGGUAUAUGACACCAACUCAGGACAGCCAGAGGCUAACCUACCAAUUCUAUUCCUCCAAACUAUUCCUGCCACCUCCCAAACUAAAACUUGUGGAGAAGUUUGUCUCCUCCAGUGUCUCAGCAGCAAGUGAAGGUUGGGGAAGACCAAGAACCUGGAUAUGACAGAGGUCUCCUCCGAUUUGCUGUGUUUUAUAGGACCCUGGAAGGCAACUCUUGGACUUGAGCUUAGCGCAACAGCUAUAUUUGUAGUGGUGUCUUCAAGAAAAGCCAAACUCUAGAAUAUUCUCUCUAAUAGACAUGCCUAGUACAUUUUAGGAGAAUUCCAUUAACUAAAUAGAAACUUCAGACUUCAGAAUCAGUCAUCAGUUAUAUGUAAAAACCUUUCUCCAGAUAGACUCAUCCCGUUUUUCAGUUAUGAGCCUGUUACUUGCUUGGUGCUGGACAGUCUUCACUGAAAUUGGGUUAUGGUUAUUAAAGAAAUGUCUGUUUCAUUUGUUCUUUUGUUUUUCUAGAAUACAACAUGUUUCUUAUUUGAAAUCAAAGGCUGAGUUUUCUGAGGGUUAUUUGUUAUCUGAUUAGACUACCCCAGUGUGAGGACCAGGGGGCUCUGAAGGCCACUGACCAUUCCUCUCUGGUCCAUUGGUUACAGUUGCCCCCCCAGGGUUCCAGGAGGGAUGGAAGCUAGGCCUCUUUGACCCUGCUUAACAGUGAUGUGCUAUCUCUGAACUCUGAAUCAUACUGAACCAAUUCUGGCUGGACAUCAUUAGCCAUUCCUGUUCAUUACUGAUUCAGCCCUGAAUCUGAGAGCACAGUACACAUCUGUCUGAAGCCCUCUAGACAAAUGGAUGAAUCCUCCCUCUGUUCUGUACUGACGCUGUUCAAUGCAUAUUAGAAACUGGAUACUCUAAUGACAUCCUGAAAGUGUAUAAAGCCUUGACCUUUCUCUGUUUUUGAUUCAUGGGUGUAAAAGCAUGCAAAUCUUAGGAGUUCAGCAGUCCACUAAAACUUUACCAGCUUCCCAACCCCAUCUAGGAAGACAGAAGUAGUCACAUAAAGAGACUUUACAACUUCUUAGCCAAGAUAAGUUGCUAAACUCUGAUAGUGCAUAUUUGUAUUAUGUGGUUCUCCAGAGGUAUUUCUUUUCUUUCCUAACACCUCUUUGUAGUCCAGAUUUCUCUUUAGGUUUUGUGGUUUAAUCAUAGCAUGAUGAGAGGCUAAUUAGGAUUUAUUUGCCCAUUUCACACACAUUCUCUCUCUCUCUCUCUCUCUCUCUCUCUGUGUGUGUGUGUGUGUGUGUGUGUGUGUGUGUGUGAAAAGAUGUGCCAGGGAGUUAAAGAGAGAAAAAUUAUAUUCCCUGCCUUUAAACUGGUAAUUUUAGCAGAGGAGAUGUGGUUUGCCUGGGAGGAACUUGUGUCGUAUGUUACAGCCAACCAGUUACAAGAGAUGCAGAGUGCCGAGUCCAGGCUGCCCUUCUGUGGAGGUAACUAGCAAACGCUUCUGGAAAUCCAGCACCUGGAGCUGGAUCUUACAAGAUAGGCAGGAUUUGGACAUGUAGAAGUAAACAUUCCAGGUGGAAAUAGUGCUGAGCAAUGCUGGAGCAGGCUAGGGAAGGAAGACCUGAGUUCUCUCCCUCCUGCCAUUCUUGGGUGGCUUCUGGUGGGCAAGGGUUUUGUUUUGUUCAGUCUGUAAGCUGAGCAUAAGGACAGGACAGUGCCUGGCCCACAGCAGUGCUCAUCUAUUUGUUCAGUGAGUGGAAGAAGCUUAGGAUAAUGAAAAUAGCUAACGUUUAUGGAACAGUUCUGCUUACCAGGCCUGUGCUGAGCUCUUUUAGGCACAUUAUUUCCCUUCAUCCUCAUGACCAUCUUGUUAGUUGCUGUUGUAAUUAUCCUUUAAUAGGUGAAGAUAAAUGGUAGAGCUGGCAUCGGAAAUGGGGCUAUCUGGGUUCAGAACCCAAACUCUUCCCCUGAACUCUGCUACCUAGAAAGAGAUUGGUGCCCAACCCCAGAGGGCAUGAAGCCACACCAAGGUGGUUAAGCUGUUUUUUAAGCAUACUCUUAGUGUUCAUUGAAGGUUUUUGAGCAGGCUCCUAGGGUGUUCCAAGUUACAUCUUGGAAAGUAAAAAAAUUAUGGUGGUGUCUCAGCCAACUUGAGGAUGAAUAAAAGGUUCCUAGAAAAUAGUUCAGUGGGUAAGAGGUAAUGAGAUUGAGGGUGGAUUACUGGAAUGUUAGGGGAACUAGUUGGGUACUAGUUUGAGCAUUUGGCAUUGGUAGGUAGUUACCAGAAUUACUAGAGGCAUCUGAAAGUAAUUUAAGACACAGCUUGUGCUUAGCACACAGUAAAUCCUCAAUAAAAUGCUUUUAAUUUCUCUACAAUACUUAACUGUUUUGGAACUUUGAAUCUCCCUCACCUAAGGAAGGCCUGUUUGCAGACAUCUUGUGCAUUAUGCCUAUAAACAAUAUUUCUUUAGUUCUCCGCCAUAGUUCUACUUGAAAACCCAGCCUUUCAAGAAAAACAGAGAGGACCAGGUUGUUUCCACUAACUGCUUACGUUUUACAAGCUAUUAUUUUUAACACAAAGUAUAGUGCAACACAGAACACAUUACAGAGCACUAUAGUUUGUAAAGUAAUCCCAGGAUUUAUAAACAUGGGAAUUCACAUUACACACCUAGUAUGUGAUCUGAUAAUGGGAUCCAAAAAAUGCAAGGCACUUUGAGGUCUGGCUGGUGGUCCCACUGCUUUCUUCCCCAUUUCUCUUUUUUACCCACAUUCUACGCCCUCUUGUGAGAGGACUUUCAGAUGAUUGCCUCAGAGGCACCUGAAUAGUUUAUGGGCUGGUCUUAUUAGAAUUGUUUGGUAGCUUGGAUUAAAACAGUGAAAUAUAAGAAGGGUACUGGAGGUCCAUUAAUAGGACUCACAGCUGUCAGUCUGAGAGCCCAGUGCUAGCUCCUGCUGUGUGCUUGUUUCCGGACUUCCCUGAAACAUCCUUGCAAAAAAGUUCACUUGUGCUUUUUGGGUGUUUUCUCCUCGGAAAAGAGACAAAUCCCAGGGCCCUUGUUUAGUACCUUACCUGUGGAUAAUUACAGCAAACUGAUGCAAACAAGGAAAGGACUUAGAACAAGCUUUAGGAUCUUUCUGCUCUUAAUGUGUGUGCUGACUCUCAGUAUUGCUGUCAGCAUCUAGACUUGAGCAUGCAGAUCUGUUGGUCAUGCCUGAUGAUCUUUGAUUUGAGUUGCAAAGUCAGAUAAUGCCAAAAUUGGAGCAGCCUAGUGAAAAAAUGCUCUGGGCUCACAGCAUGGGGCAUCAGCUGUCUCUGCAGCUCUCAGGGCCCUGACAGUCUUUCCCUGCCAAGAGAGGGGUGAACAUGGAAGGUCACAGCAAGUUCAGUGGGAAAGUGGCUUCAGGGCAGAGUUUUGGUUGGCUGUGGUUGUGGAGGAAGUUAAUUUCAAAGCUCAUUUAGAGAGGGUUUAAAAACAAAUUUCUUUAAAAAAGUGCUCCUUUUAUGUGAACACAGCUGCUGCAUGGGGCUGUGACAGUGCCUCCUGGACUUGUGCAACAAGGCAGUCCUCGCAGGAAUACUACACAGAUUGCUUUUAGUAAAUUUGAUUUACUGGAGAAAGUAGUCACAUCAGUUGUUUAGCCAGUGUUUACUGAGAGCCUCCUUGGUCUUGAGAAUACAGAACAGAAUGAUACAUGCAUCCGGCCCUGAGAAACUCGUGCCUAGAGAGACCCUAUGUCCAUGUGGUGUGGCCUGGGACAUUCCCUGUUUAUGCCUUUUGUCCUGGUAUAAGAGCACUCUCUUUGAACCUCAAAGUUCCGCACUUCAGAUGAUAAAUUACACAGUUACCUUAUUCAUAGACUAGCGAUGGGAGGCAAAUACGUGAACUCUCCUCUCAUCACAGAAUCCAGCCUCCUCCUUGUCCUUUCCUUGCCCGCUAUACAACUUCUCUUCUCUGGCAGCGGUAGUCCCCUUGUCCGCCUGCGUUCUCCUGCUUAUCCCAGUGUCCCAGUCUUUCUUACCCCAUAGCUGCCGCAGGAACCCAGAACUUAUUUAGGGACCAGGAAGAUAAGCUUUCAUGCCAGCUGCAGCCCCCUUGAGCAUACUCUGGUUGUGGCUUUCCCUCUCUUUUCUUCUCAAACUGUGUUUGGGAAAAAAUUUUAUUUGCUCAUGGCUGCUUGUGUUCUCCCUAUGCUCCAGUUCUCUGGGUCGUUUCGGUGAUAAUCUGUACCUCUGUCAUUCUGAUGGGCUUUCCAAGAGCAAAGUUUGAUAAAAAUGUAUGCUGGCUUCCCAUGUUUAAGUGGCAUAGCUUUGGACUUGGAUUCCUGAUUCUCUCCAUCCCUGGGAAUAAAAUACCAUGCCACAGAAAGAGCUGGGCUUUGGAGCUCCUUCGACUUGGAUGUGAGUACAGGUGAUAAAUCUGCCACUAAGACAAGGUAAAUCAAAUACAGGGUGAUGACCAAAGGCCCUUUCUGACCAAAAUCUUUGGUAAUUCUUCAGUGGUUCUAAGUUAGGAUGAAGUCCUUAAUUAUAGAAGUCAACCAUUUUAAUCAUGAUAGGAGAUUGUCCAGUGCUGGGCCGGAGAGGGUCUCAGAAAGAAUAAAUUCCUAAAACAUGGUUCGUACAAUGGAACAAGAAUGGAUAAAUGUUAGGUUUCUCCCCUUGCCCCCCACCUGCCCUUUUUUGUUCCCUCCCACUCCCCGCCUUUUUUUAUCAUUGCCUUUAGCUAAGCAGUGGAUUCCUUGUUUGGAAUAAUUACAUCAUGAGUGAUAUGGUUUGACUGUGUAUUCCCACCCAAAUCUCAUCUUGUAACUCCCGUAAUUCCCACAUGUUGUGGGUGGGACCCUGUGGUCUUUCCCGUGCUGUUCUUGUGAUAGUGAAUGGGUCUCACGAUGGUUUUAAAAACGGGAGUUUCUCUUGACAAGCUCUUUCUUUGCCUGCUGCCAUCCAUGUAAGAUGUGACUUGCUCUUCCUUGCCUUUAGCCAUGUGGAACUAUAAGUCCGAUAAACCUCUUUCUUUUGUAAAUUGCUCAUUUUUGAGUAUGUUUUUAUCAGCAGCAUGAAAACAAAUGAAUAUAGUGAACUCUUAUUUUCACCCCUUGCUCAUUCUUUUUUGUUUAUUGCUCCCAAAUUUGGUCUUGCUUACUUUUGAAAUUUGAAAUCAGGAUUAGAUAAGAGUGGGAGUUAAUAUAAAAGAAGAUAAUUUCCCCAGAGCUAAGAAUUUGUUCUGAGUUCUCAGGGCCUUUUUGUUUUACAAAAAGCUGGAAGUUGAU